rnacentral:rRNA from 1 species
CGCCUGUUUAUUAAAAACAUCGCUCCUUGGGUUAUAGUGAAUUAAUAUAAGGAGUCGGGCCUGCCCGGUGUAUGAGAGUAUAAACGGUUGCAACGAGAGUUGUGCAAAGGUAGCGUGAUAAUUUGUCCUUUAAUUGAGGACUGGUAUGAAUGGUUUGACGUGUAAUUGCUUUUUUUACAUAAGUUUUACGAAAUUUCCUUUUAGUGUGAAAAGGCUUAAAUUUUUGAAAAAGACGAGAAGACCCUGUCGAACUUGAUUAGAAUUAUUGUUUUGAGUAGAAUCAGCAUAAUAUAUUCAGAAAUUUUAUUGGGGCAAUAUUGGCUUAAAAAACAGCUUAAACUAAACAAAGAUCCUUUAAGGAAGAAAUUUGGCAGAAGUUACCGCAGGGAUAACAGCGUUAUUUUUCCUGAGAGAUCGAAUUGAGGGAAAAGUUUGCGACCUCGAUGUUGGAUUAUAGAAACUUUAUGGUGCAGCAGCUAUAAUUGUGAGACUGUUCGUCUUUUAAAUCUAUACAUGAUCUGAGUUCAGACCGG